ensembl:lncRNA
AACAUUACCUCAUAUUUUUAAUAGAGGCAGGCACCAUUUCAAAUUAACCCUUUUUGGUUAUGAAUUCUUGACAGAAAUAAGUAUUGAACAACAUCCACCGUAUAUCACAUUAGGGUGGAGAACACGAUGCCUUGCCCACUUAAAAAAUUCACCAAUGCAUUUUUGGGUAUGUUGGAGUUACACAACGAAAUGCAACUGAAAAGAAGUACUGGGCAGAGCCCAAGACGGCACAUCGAGCCAUGAACAAAUUGGUGUUCUCUCUUCUUUGCUGAAUUACGGAACCUCAGGUGUUGGAAAGGACCUCUGGAGAUCACCCAGUCUAACCCCCUGCUUCAGCAGGUUCCCUACAGCAGAUCACACAGCUAGGCAUCCAGGUAGUGAAUCAACAACCUUUCUCAAAGAGGAAAAAAGAAAACUAGCAUGUAUGGCUAGAAAGUGGCUAGAUGGUGUCACAGAACUCAAGAAUGAGAAAGACAUUUAAAGAGUUGUGAAAAGUGUGAAAACACACCAGAAAAUCAGAACCAAGAUCUCCGUACACCCUCCCAUUCUGAGGCUGGUGAGAGCAAACAAAUCUGAUGUAGGAUCCUAAGGCUUCAAUGAGCUGUUUAUCCUAAAACAUUUUGGAGCAGUUGAUAUUCCUGUGUGCAAACUAC